ACUGAGCAAAGGGCAAAAAGCUGCAGAGAGAGAGAGAGAGAGAGAGAGAGAGAGCAAAUCGAGUAGAGGAGAGAGAGAGAGAUGAGGAAGUUCGAUCCAUGGCCGAUCUUCUUCAAGAGGGAAUUCAGCAGGACGUGGCCGUUCCUCGUCGGCUUCGCCGUGACCGGCGCCAUCAUCACCAAGUUCUCUCUCGGCCUCUCUGAGGAAGACGCCAAGAAGUCACCUUUCGUUCAGCAGCACAAGAGGUGAAUUCUUGGAUGGUAAUCGCGUUGCCCCCUGUGCACCUGAGCAUUAUGGGAGGAGAGAUUUGCUUCCUUUGUUCAAAUUGACAAAAUAACAGGAGAAAGAUGUUUGGGAUUCUCUGCGUUUUUGCUUCUUUUGGAUUCUGUGGAUUUCAUAUACUUUUGAUAUGAAGCAAUCGAGCAUCCAUUUUCAUUGAAUAAACCCUGUUUUGGGAGCUCUUUUGUGUUACAAAAACGUGGAGGAUUUGGUUGAGCCUA